rnacentral:rRNA from 9 species
GGUUGACCUCGGAUCAGGUAGGGAUACCCGCUGAACUUAAGCAUAUCAAUAAGCGGAGGAAAAGAAACCAACAGGGAUUGCCCCAGUAACGGCGAGUGAAGCGGCAAGAGCUCAAAUUUGAAAGCUGGCUCCUUCGGGGUCCGCAUUGUAAUUUGCAGAGGAUGCUUCGGGAGCGGUCCCCAUCUAAGUGCCCUGGAACGGGACGUCAUAGAGGGUGAGAAUCCCGUAU